rnacentral:rRNA from 1 species
AUUGAACGCUGGCGGCAGGCCUAACACAUGCAAGUCGAGCGAGCGGCGGACGGGUGAGUAAUGUCUGGGAAACUGCCUGAUGGAGGGGGAUAACUACUGGAAACGGUAGCUAAUACCGCAUACCAUCAGAUGUGCCCAGAUGGGAUUAGCUAGUAGGUGGGGUAAGGGCUCACCUAGGCGACGAUCCCUAGCUGGGCUGAGAGGAUGACCAGCCACACGGGAACUGAGACACGGCCCAGACUCCUACGGGAGGCAGGAGUGGGGAAUAUUGCACAAUGGGCGCAAGCCUGAUACAGCCAUGCCGCGUGUGUGAAGAAGGCCUUCGGGUUGUAAAGCACUUUCAGCGGGGAGGCGUUACUCGCAGAAGAAGCACCGGCUAACUCCGUGCCAGCAGCCGCGGUAAUUC